CCUUUCGUAGUUCAGCGGUUAGAACGCUUGGCUGUAGCCCGAGAAAUCCCCAGUUCGAAUCUGGGCGAAGGGA
rnacentral:tRNA from 1 species